AUUGAACGCUGGCGGCAGGCCUAACACAUGCAAGUCGAACGGUAGCACAGAGAGCUUGCUCUUGGGUGACGAGUGGCGGACGGGUGAGUAAUGUCUGGGAAACUGCCCGAUGGAGGGGGAUAACUACUGGAAACGGUAGCUAAUACCGCAUAACGUCUUCGGACCAAAGUGGGGGACCUUCGGGCCUCACACCAUCGGAUGUGCCCAGAUGGGAUUAGCUAGUAGGUGGGGUAAAGGCUCACCUAGGCGACGAUCCCGAGCUGGUCUGAGAGGAUGACCAGCCACACUGGAACUGAGACACGGUCCAGACUCCUACGGGAGGCAGCAGUGGGGAAUAUUGCACAAUGGGCGCAAGCCUGAUGCAGCCAUGCCGCGUGUAUGAAGAAGGCCUCCGGGUUGUAAAGUACUUUCAGCGGGGAGGAAGGCGUUAAGGUUAAUAACCUUGGCGAUUGACGUUACCCGCAGAAGAAGCACCGGCUAACUCCGUGCCAGCCGCCGCAGUAA
rnacentral:rRNA from 1 species